CUUUGUUCGUGUCUGUCUUGUUUUUCUUCAAACACCUGUGCUGCAACAUGUCUCAGCUAUUGCCAACAGCAAGAGAGUAGAGUUCCAUUCGAGAGGUCUGUUUUUUUCAUUCCUUUUAUUGAAUUCUUGCCAUUUUCGUGUUGGAUUUUUUUGUUUGAUUGUUCUAAAAUUGGUUAAAACAGUUCGUAGUAAGUGAUAUUUCAAUUGGCUGUUAAUAGAUGUGGCCAGUAAUUCUUAUUCUUCUUCUUUAAUGUGAUUUUUGUUUAUAAAGAAAUCCAAUUCUUGCCCACCUUGUCUUCCUUCACUGGUAAAAGAAAAAUAAAUGAAAUUCUAAACUUAGUGAGUGGAUACGUCAGAUUGGUUUUGAAAAACUUGUAUUUAGUUUGCGAAGAUUUUAAGUGAACUCAGAAUUUUAGUAUAAUUUGGAUGUAGGGGAACUCAGAUGCAUAAGGCAAUUACUUCUUAUAAGUAAGAUGAUUCCUAUGUAAUUUAUGCAAAGAAAGCAAGUAUCCAAACACUAGGCUUUUAUGAAUUCAGAUCUAAGCUAAAAGUGUAGAUUAACCAACUUUUCUGUUAGUUAGUUUGUGAGAUUGUGGUUCUUAAAAAAGCAAUUUUAGCAACUCAAUCAUCAAAAAUCAAUAAUGAUACAAGAAAAAGAAAAGCAAAAGCAAACUAUGGGAAUUUCUUCCAUGAAGUAAUUUGUUGAUUGGUUUCUUCAUGUAUUUUUAAGAGUGUGAGAAGUGAAAGUUUCAUGUUUCCAUUCCCAUCCAUAAGCACAGUUGUAAAUCUUAGCAGCUUAGGCCAUGGCAUGUUUGAUAGCAUCUUAGCUUUUGGCCUUGACCAAUCUAGGCCUGAUCACAAGUCAGAAUCCACUUGUGAGCCUCAUGAGAUGAGGUAAUCUAUCAGGUUGGAAUUGAACUUAGUCGCUUUGUAACAAUGAUUUCUCUCUCUGAUUUCACAUUUUGCCUUGGAUGAUUUCUUAGCUGCUAGGAUCAGCACUGGAGAUUGCAGUAUGACACACUGCAGUAGGAUUUUGUGCUCCAAAAUGGUUUAGCAGCUCUAGUAUGAAUCCACUAUUCAGGACUGAAGCUCUUUGCCAUUCUGCAAAUUUAUGAAGGCUUUGUCUGUGAUUUAUUUAUUUAUUCAUUUAUUUUUAUUUCACCGUGGCUUUGCUUGCAAGAUAUUUUUCAGAUAACUCCUGUGUGGUUUUUGUUGAUAAUUAAUUAUCCAGAAAAUCAAGCACCUGGAGUUUUUUUAUUGGGUGUAAGGGGACUUAGAUGCACAAGGCCAAUUUCUUCUUAGAAGUAACAUGCUUCGUAUAUAAUUUAAUACAAAUACAGAAAGUAUCCUAGUUUAGACUGUUAUGAAUUGAGAUCUAAGCUAAUAGAGCAGCUUUAACUUCAUGUUUAAGCACAGUUGUAAGUACUAGGAGCCUAGCCAACCCAUUGCAAGUUUGAUAAUGUCUUAUUAUUGGGUCUUGACCAAUCUAGGCCUGACAAGUCAGAAUCCUCUUGUGGGCCUGAUGAGAUGAUUGAAGUUCUCUAUAUGCAAAUUUAUUAAUGCUUUGAGUGUCUUUGAUUUUUUUUUUUAUAACCUUUCUGUAGCUUUGUAACAAUGGUUUCUCUCUCUGGUUUCACCUUUUUGCCUUGCAAAAUUUCUACUACGCUCAGCACCGGAUAUUGCACUCAAAAGUUCUAUUGGUUUCAUUUUUUCCUUUAUUAAAUUUUUGCAG
rnacentral:lncRNA from 1 species